GCAAUUAAUAGAGCAAUUUCUUUGUAGCCGCAACUGGUCCAGGUAUCUGCAUCCUCCUAGCUUCGUACUCAGGCUGUAACACCACGUUUGCCGUCAUGUGGUUCAUCAUUGCCAUGAUACUCAUGGGUGCCUACUACAGUGGAAUGAAGAUCAACCCUCUCGACAUCUCUCCGAACUAUGCUGGUACCACAACAGCAAUGGUCAACGGAUCGCUGCGAUAUCUGCCAUCAUCUCGCCAUAUCUGAUUGGACUUUUAACUCCAGAUUCUACGUUAAAGCAAUGGCGAGUAGCAUUCUGGGUGUGCCUUGGCGUACUGGUUGUAACCAACGUGAUCUACCUCAUCUUCGCCAAGGGAGAUCAACUCUGGUGGGAUGAUGUAAGGAAACAUGGCUACCCCACUGACUGGAAGCACGGGCCUCUGCCCACAAGAGAAACUGACUCCGAGAAAUCAAAAUCAAAGACAGAGAAAGAAGAGAACGAAGCCAAGAACUAAAACACCAGACUGUUAUUAAUUUGUACAUAUACUUAAGUUUUUUAUGUAAGGAAUAAAUAUUUAUUAUAUA